GACGAACGCUGGCGGCGUGCCUAAUACAUGCAAGUUGAGCGCUUAAGGUUGGUACUUGUACCAACUGGAUGAGCAGCGAACGGGUGAGUAACGCGUGGGGAAUCUGCCUUUGAGCGGGGGACAACAUUUGGAAACGAAUGCUAAUACCGCAUAAAAACUUUAAACACAAGUUUUAAGUUUGAAAGAUGCAAUUGCAUCACUCAAAGAUGAUCCCGCGUUGUAUUAGCUAGUUGGUGAGGUAAAGGCUCACCAAGGCGAUGAUACAUAGCCGACCUGAGAGGGUGAUCGGCCACAUUGGGACUGAGACACGGCCCAAACUCCUACGGGAGGCAGCAGUAGGGAAUCUUCGGCAAUGGACGUAAGUCUGACCGAGCAACGCCGCGUGAGUGAAGAAGGUUUUCGGAUCGUAAAACUCUGUUGGUAGAGAAGAACGUUGGUGAGAGUGGAAAGCUCAUCAAGUGACGGUAACUACCCAGAAAGGGACGGCUAACUACGUG
rnacentral:rRNA from 1 species